GGAGAGAGAAGCCCGGCCAGGUGAGAGUCUGCUCACCUGAAGAGACAGACUCUGAGGAGGAGCAGCUCUGGACCUCUGGAUUGACCGGUGCUCGAGUGUGGAAGCCACCACCAGUCAGACAGGGGUCUCUACAACAGCCCAGUACGUCAGAUGCAGUUUCUGUACAGAGUCUCUCAGGGCGGGGCUGGAGUGACCAGGAGGUCUCUGGAGGGACCACUCCUUCUCAUCCAGAGAUCGAC